rnacentral:rRNA from 1 species
UUAAAAUAUAAAUUAUUAAGCUAAGUGAUUAUAAGAUAAAAUCUUUAAAGCUAAAUAAUUUGGCGGUAUUUUAUUCUUUUCAGAGGAACCUGUCCUAUAAUUGAUAAUCCACGAUUUAAUUAACUUUAAUUAGAAACUUUUAUAUCAUCGUUAUUAAAUAUUUUAUAAGAACUUAAUAUUUAAAAUUUUAAAUAAAAAAUGAGAUCAGAUCAAGAUGAAGUUUAUAUUAAAGAAGAGAUGGGUUACUUUAAAUUUUAUUAAUGGAUUAAAUUUUUGAAAAAAUUUAUGAAAUUGGAUUUGAAAGUAAUUAAUUAAUUUUUUUUUAAUGAUUUAGCUCUAAAAUAUGU